AGCGAACGCUGGCGGCAGGCCUAACACAUGCAAGUCGAACGAACUCUUCGGAGUUAGUGGCGGACGGGUGAGUAACACGUGGGAACGUGCCUUUAGGUUCGGAAUAACUCAGGGAAACUUGUGCUAAUACCGAAUGUGCCCUUCGGGGGAAAGAUUUAUCGCCUUUAGAGCGGCCCGCGUCUGAUUAGCUAGUUGGUGAGGUAAAGGCUCACCAAGGCGACGAUCAGUAGCUGGUCUGAGAGGAUGAUCAGCCACAUUGGGACUGAGACACGGCCCAAACUCCUACGGGAAGCAGCAGUGGGGAAUCUUGCGCAAUGGGCGCAAGCCUGACGCAGCCAUGCCGCGUGAAUGAUGAAGGUCUUAGGAUUGUAAAAUUCUUUCACCGGGGACGAUAAUGACGGUACCCGGAGAAGAAGCCCCGGCUAACUUCGUG
rnacentral:rRNA from 1 species